rnacentral:rRNA from 1 species
GACGAACGCUGGCGGCGUGCUUAACACAUGCAAGUCGAACGGAAAGGCCCUGCUUUUGUGGGGUGCUCGAGUGGCGAACGGGUGAGUAACACGUGAGUAACCUGCCCUUGACUUUGGGAUAACUUCAGGAAACUGGGGCUAAUACCGGAUAGGAGCUCCUGCUGCAUGGUGGGGGUUGGAAAGUUUCGGCGGUUGGGGAUGGACUCGCGGCUUAUCAGCUUGUUGGUGGGGUAGUGGCUUACCAAGGCUUUGACGGGUAGCCGGCCUGAGAGGGUGACCGGCCACAUUGGGAAUGAGAACAGGCCCAGAACCCUAAGGGAGGGAGGAGUGGGGAAAAUUGCAAAAUGGGCGGAAGGCUGAUGCAGCAACGCCGGGUGCGGGAUGAAGGCCUUCGGGUUGUAAACCGGUUUUGCCUGGGACGAAGCGUGAGUGACGGUAAUGGGUAAAGAAGCACCGGCUAACUACGUG